rnacentral:misc_RNA from 1 species
UUUCCGUAGGUGAACCUGCGGAAGGAUCAUUACAGAGUUCAGGCCCGACAUGGUCGUCCUCCCACCCCUGUGUAUUAUUACUUUGUUGCUUUGGCGAGCGGCAGAUCGCCAGAAAAUACCAAAACUCCUCUUAUUCAUGUGGUCUGAGUACUAAAUAAUAGUUAAAACUUUCAACAACGGAUCACUUGGUUCUG